rnacentral:tRNA from 1 species
GGAGGGAUGGCCGAGUGGUUGAAGGCGGCGGUCUUGAAAACCGUUGAACCCGGAAGGGUUCCGGGGGUUCGAAUCCCUCUCCCUCCGCCA